rnacentral:rRNA from 1 species
GACGAACGCUGGCGGCGUGCUUAACACAUGCAAGUCGAGCGGAGCGGCGAACGGGUGAGUAACGCGUGAGUAACUUCCCCCCUCUCUGGGAUAACAGUUGGAAACGGCUGCCAAUACCGGUUAGUGUGGGAUGACUCGUGUCCUAUCCGCUUGUUGGUGGGGUAGUGGCCUACCAAGGCGACGACCGGUAGCCGGCCUGAGAGGGCGACCGGCCACAUUGGGCUGAGAUAGGGCCCAAACUCCAACGGGAGGCAGCAGGGGGGAAUAUUGCGCAGUGGGGGAAACCCUGAUGCAGCAACGCCGGGUGCGGGAUGACGGGCUUCGGGUGGUAAACCGCUUUCAGCCAUGACGCGGUAGUGGAAGAAGAAGCACCGGCUAACUACGUGCCAGCAGCCGCGGUAAUAC